rnacentral:lncRNA from 1 species
UAAAGCUACUUCUGUACUUUAAAAAAGCUACUGUUAUAGUUUAGAAAGUCUACUGCAAUAGUUCUAUAAAGCUACUUCUAUGGUUUUGCCAUUCUCGAUUAGCACGCAACUUUAUUUCAAAUAUUUCUUGGUUAGCCGAAUGAUCUCUUGGUUAAGAGAGGCUUCAAUAUCCAAAUUCACAUGAGAUUUCUGCAAGAACAAAUGCACAACAAAAUAUUAAUAUUUGAAAUGAAAACUAGAAACAACAAUGAAAGUAAAAGUUACUCAUAUCAUGAUGAAAAGAUACUAAUAUAGGCAUAGAAAAAUACUAUCAGUAUUUUGAAAAGACACUACUAUACAAUGAGAAAACUACAAACACAGAACAUGUCAUAAAACAACACUGUAUUUCUCUAGCUUAUUUUCCUACAUGAUCACCAAAUUUAUGAAUACAAAACCACUCACAAGUACUAAUUAAGUAGCUCACUAUUGUCUUCCAUGAACUCCAAAAACUAUUCAAUAUAGACAUUUUAUAUAUACAGAAUCAUUUCCAAAUCAUCUAUUAUACUGAUCUAGUAAUCUUGUUCCUUCAUUGAACACUAAUUCCACCAGUAUCACACCAUCACACUUAAAUUACCCCAUCACAAUAUUAGUAUAUAUUAUGCCCAGACGUCAUCACACAAUUAUCAUCCACAAGGUACCUGAAUACUUCAAAUAGAACAAUCAAACCUAAACAAAUUUCAAUUCAAACGUAAACAAAUUUUAAAUCUGAGUAUGAACCAAAAACAAAUCCAAACAGGAAAAUUUUUCCACAGCAACAAGCCAAAAUUAAUCUCCAUCAAUCAAGCAAUUGAAUCAGCAACAUGCAAAAGUCAAAACUAGUGGAUUUGAAAGCUUCCAAAUUACAUAUUAAACCAGAAAUUAAACAAGAACAAAAUCGGCAUAAUCAAUCAAACUAGUAGAAUAAUCAGAAAUUAAAAGGAAGAAAAUAACAUUGAACCUAAAUUGAAGUAGCUCACACCUCAUUGUCUUCCCCGAAAUUGAGCAUAGAGUGAAGCGAUCUGAACAUCGACGUCAUCCGAGUCGAUCAUUCCGAUGACGAGCGGCAAAACGACGUCGAGCAUCACAAGCGUCUCCAGAGGUCGUCUCUCGAACUCUUAGAUCACUGUUUUGCAGCCAAAGGUUGACGAUUCUUUGGCGUCGACGAGCGUUAUGCAAUCGAGGACCAGCAGUCUCCGUCCAGAUCUAGACGUCGGCGAUCUUCUUCGAUCGGAGAAAUCUGAGGCGGCAUGUUCAAAGCAACAUCGUCGAAGCGGUGGCUUGGUGAUCGAAGAAUAGAGAGAGAGAGAGAGAGAGAGAGAGAGAGAGAGAGAGA